rnacentral:rRNA from 1 species
UACGUAGGUGGCAAGCGUUGUCCGGAAUUAUUGGGCGUAAAGCGCGCGCAGGUGGUUUCUUAAGUCUGAUGUGAAAGCCCACGGCUCAACCGUGGAGGGUCAUUGGAAACUGGGGAACUUGAGUGCAGGAGAGAAGAGUGGAAUUCCACGUGUAGCGGUGAAAUGCGUAGAGAUGUGGAGGAACACCAGUGGCGAAGGCGACUCUUUGGCCUGUAACUGACACUGAGGCGCGAAAGCGUUGGGGAGCAAACAGG